UCGCCCUCGAAGUAGAAGAGCACAUUCUGGUAGAGGGCGAACCACUUCUCGUGCCAGCGGCUCGCCUCGGCCGUCUUCUUACUCAGGAAGCCGCGCUUGGUGCCCUCCUUGCGCGCCAGAAAGGCCAGAAGACAGCCACCUCGCCAAGAUCGUGUCUCCCCUUUCUGAGGAAGCCCAGAGCUGAUGACUGGCCAUAUGGAUAUAAAACGCACAACCCCCUCAGGGGAACUCCGACUCGGGCAUCUCUGAAGGACUAUGGGGUCCAGUGCAGCACAGAGUGGGACAUUACUUUCUGCUGGGAAGACCCACUUCCCAAUCAAGGGAGCAUUUGGUCUGAGUCCUGAAGGGUGGUUGGUUAAGUGGCAAAUACGCAGAGCUGGAGAAUGAAGGAUUUUUUUUUUUAAUACUUUAAGUUCUAGGAUACACGCGCACAAUGUGCAGGCUCAGCUUUCUCAUCACUGAACUGGAGAUACAGGUAAUAGUAAUAUCUACCCCUGGAGGUAUUUUUAAAUACUUCCACAGUACCUGACACGUGGUAAGUUUUAACAAUGCUGAUGGAGGAAACAUUUGGAUGUUUCCAGCCAAAUUGGAGGAAUCAACGAGUCUUGUCUACUGAUUAGAUAUAGAGGUCGGAAGAUGGAGGAUGGAGGUGAAGCCAAGAUGGCUCUAGGUAUCUGGCCUGAGCAAGAGAACUGACAACAGUUGGUAUUUGGGUUUGACUUGAAGGCAACUGUGGGCCAUCUAGAUGGAGAGAGGUACAGUGGCAUCUUGGAAUUUCUAAAAUAAAAUACACCGACACUUAGAUCAUCUCUCUCUGAGCAGAGCCAGCUGUUGGCCCCCAUACCCAGGACCACAUCCACCUGGUUAGAAGCUCUGCUGGGUUUGGUCUGGGAGAGACCCGCUGCCUCAAGAGAAUUUGCUACAGGGAAAGCCCCCUGGGUAACCAUGAAGAUGUGAUAUGUUAUGUCAGCAUGAAGAUAGACGAUAUUGUAGAAGACCUUAUGGGGAGUUGGAGACUUGGAAUCCCCUUUGGUGCAGAAACUAUUCCUUCAUGAGAAGAAGUCCUUAAAUAGGCUCUUUAGACAGGAGGCCACAUGUUGAAGGCAGCAGGGUCACAAGAUGGAAGAACCAGGGUCCCAGUAUCAUCGCUCCCUGCUUCAAGCUGCCAGGGGCAGCCUAACCCACAUGGCAUUAUGACAUAAGAAACAAAGUAACUAUUGUUUUAUUAAAUCAAUGAGAUAUUGGGCUUCUUGUUAUAGCAACUAGUAUAAAUUGCCCUGACUGAUACAUUAUGGAUUUAGAGUGCACUGUACUACAACUGUUUGUUGUAUUUUCAAAAUUGUGGUAUAACUGACUUACAAUAAACUUCAUAUAUUUAA
rnacentral:lncRNA from 10 species